CGAGAGAGCCGCAGUGAAUAGGCCCAGGCGACUGUAUAGCAAAAACACAGGUCUCUGCAUAACCGUAAGGUGACGUAUAGGGGCUGACGCCUGCCCGGUGCUGGUAGGUUAAGAGGUGUGCUUAGCUUCGGCGAAGGUACGAUUUGAAGCCCCAGUAAACGGCGGCCGUAACUUUAACGGUCCUAAGGUAGCGAAAUUCCUUGUCGGGUUAGUUCCGACCCGCUCGAAA
rnacentral:rRNA from 1 species